rnacentral:rRNA from 1 species
CACGCGGUAAACGAUGAGUGCUAGGUGUAGCGGGUAUCGACCCCUGCUGUGCCGGAGUUAACACAAUAAGCACUCCGCCUGGGGAGUACGGCCGCAAGGUUGAAACUCAAAGGAAUUGACGGGGGCCCGCACAAGCAGCGGAGCAUGUGGUUUAAUUCGAAGCAACGCGAAGAACCUUACCAGGUCUUGACAUCGAGGCAAAGCCGCGGAAAUGCGGUGUUCAGCAAUGAAGCCGAAGACAGGUGG